CCUACGGGUGGCAGCAGUGGGGAAUAUUGCACAAUGGGGGAAACCCUGAUGCAGCGACGCCGCGUGAGUGAAGAAGUAUCUCGGUACGUAAAGCUCUAUCAGCAGGGAAGAAAAUGACGGUAACUGACUAAGAAGCCCCGGCUAACUACGUGCCAGCAGCCGCGGUAAUACGUAGGGGGCAAGCUUUAUCCGGAUUUACUGGGUGUAAAGGGAGCGUAGACGGACGCAUAAGUCUGGGGUGAAAUCCCGGGGCUUAACCCCGGAACUGCUUGGGAAAAUGUGCGGCUGGAGUGCAGGAGGGGUAAGCGGAAUUCCUAGUGUAGCAGUGAAAUGCGUAGAUAUUAGGAGGAACACCAGUGGCGAAGGCAGCUUACUGGACUGUAACUGACGUUGAGGCUCGAAAGCGUGGGGAGCAAACAGGAUUAGAUACCCCAGUAGUC
rnacentral:rRNA from 1 species